AUGAACGACGCGCUGGAGUUGAAGCCCAUUCAAGUUGUCUAUGACAACAAUAACGUGUCGAGUGACCAAACGAUUGAGGUGAUUCCAGGGAAUGGUGCUUGCUCAGGCCCCGACAGUUCAGAGAGAAAUGAAGUGUCCCCUUUGCUAUCAACAAGACAGGUCGCUGAGAACAAUGGGGAACAGCGCCUCCAGGUGGAUGAAGGCGUCGAUACUGACUCCCUAAGUCAACCCAAGUGGCGGAGGGAGCUGCGGAGGGUCAAGAGAGAACUGAAUGAAGUGGUGGUGUGGAAACUCAAACUACGGACAGUGAUACUUAUCGUCUUUAUUGCCAUUGCUCUGGUUAUUGGGAUCUCAAUCAUUGUGUGCGCAGUUGGUCAUGAUGAUGAGGAUGAAAAAUAUGACAAAUCAUCAUUUUGUGGUGCCGCGCUUUAGAGCUGACACAGCAG
rnacentral:lncRNA from 1 species